rfam:Marine metagenome 1096626383150, whole genome shotgun sequence.
CUAUACUGGUAGUGAUACUAGUAGAAGGGCUGUAAGGAGUCAGCAGACGGCAUAGUACCACAGUCAAGUAUACAGAUUGCGGGAAGGCC